CUGGAACCCCAUAUGACCUCAUACAUUCAGAAUAAGCAGUUCUAAGAACAAAUGCCUCUCCACUUGAACUUUUAAAACAUCCUGUUCCUCUUCUCCCAGACACCUGGAUACACUCUCAUCUUAGCAGCAACAGAACUAUAAGGCGAAUGACAAUCUCCAAGAAGAACACAAGGCAUGACAAAAGCCUUGGACUGCAGCCUGGUUUUCUAACUCUGGAUGCCUUCAAAGCACCGAAUGAACACAGAAGCUAUGCAUUCACAAGGAAGAAGGCCCCGGCCACCCAUGAGCAGGACUCUCGCCAUCCAUAA
rnacentral:lncRNA from 1 species